AGGUGAGAGGAUGGAUUGAGCCUGGGAGGUGGAGGUUGCAGUGAGCUGAGAUUGCACUGCUGCACUCCAGCCUGGGCCAUAGAACCAGACCUUGUCUC
rnacentral:miRNA from 1 species